AACUAUGGCUUUGAGGAGCACUGUAGGCACUUGAAGCAUCGGUGUUGGAGCCAUUGGAUGUUAUGGUGCUUCCAGAGGCCUGCUGGUUCACAGUUAAGGCAGGGACAGAGCUCAGCCAUUGGACACCAUGCUGUUUAUGCAAACCAUCAUAAAGAUUGGAAAGGCUGUGGGAUGACCCAUAGGCAGUUGCACUUUGGCUUUGGGAACCAGUGUAGGAACUUGAUAGACUGGAGGUGGAGGAACCAUUAGCUGUUGUGGCGGCUUCAGUUGUCUGCUGAUUUGUGCCUUGCUGUGUCUGGAAACUACCAAAGGGUCUGGAAAAUCCUUGAAACAGUCCAUAGACAGUUGAGCCUCGGCUUUGAGAACCAUUGUGGGAGCUGGAAGACAUGCCGGAGGCUUGUUGGGUUAAAGUUAAAGGAGGGGCAGAGCUCAGUUGGUUUGUGCCUUGCUGUGUCUGGAUACUCCCAUAGGGGCUGGAAAAUCCUUGAGACAGUCCAUAGACAGUUG
ensembl:lncRNA